rnacentral:lncRNA from 1 species
GGCUGUGCUUAGAGAGGUGAACCCAUUGAGUUCGGUUACAUUCACACCUCAGCCUCCAACCAUCCCUAACACACACACACACUCACCAGCAAACAUCCCAGCCAAACUCCCAUCCUGCCUAGAGGGUCCUGGCUACCUCAGGUGACGAGGACAACUCAACGUUAGGGGUGGCUCUGCCAGCCGCACACCUCAAGAUCCACGGGGUUGCUGGUGUGGAGGAGGCGCUGGCAUGGACAGCCUUUCGGCCCCAGAGCCUUUUCUGGUCAGGGCAGCCUGCUGCUGAGGAGACCUGGCUGCAUGCCAGGCUGUGUGCCACCCUGACCUGUGUCCAGGGCCACCACUGCAUGGUCACAGACUGUUGGAGUUGGAAAGGCCCCUCAUUUCACAGGCAGAGAUGCUGUGGCCCCGCAGUCGGAUCUCUUCUUGCUGACUCUUCUAACCGUCUGCUUACCAGUGAGAUACCCUCUAAUCACAGACCACAGAUACGCCCCAGAGGACAAGCUGGGACCCUGGCUGAGACACACUUACAAGUGGCCAUGGUCAUUGCUUCAUUGCUGGAAGCCCCCAUCCCAUCCCACCUCACCCACCCCUCCCACAGGGGGCUGUCCCUGCCUGUCGGAUCACCAUGGUGUCCCAGUUCCCUGCACAGGGCCUGCCAGGGAACCAUCGCCGUUGGAGAAUAGCCCUUUGGACACCCCUCCGGCUCCUCCACUCCUCCCCACCUUUUGCCCAAGAUUCAGACUCAGCAGGUUUGGGUAGGGCCUGAGUCCCUAAAAGCGUCCAAGUGGGUCUGCAGCCCAGCUGGCCCCACCCACCUGCACGCUGAGGUGCUGGGGUUCCAAGGCUAUCCCCCGAGGUGUCUGCAUUCCAGAAGCAAGGAUGGAUGGCCAAGAGUGGAAUUUCAGGCAGUAAGUGCAGUGGUUAUGAACCUGCGCUCAAGAAGUUCAAAUUCCUGAUCUUGACCUUGGGCAAGUCCUUAACCUGCUUGAGCCUCAGUGUCAUCUGUGGAAUGGGGAAGUAAUAGCAUCCACCUUGCAGAGUUGCCGUGAUGAUUAAGUGAGUACC